ACGAACGCUGGCGGCGUGCUUAACACAUGCAAGUCAAACGGAGUUUGUUGGGGAGCUUGCUUCCUGGCAGACUUAGUGGCGGACGGGUGAGUAACGCGUGGGCAAUCUGCCCAUAAGAGGGGGAUAACACCGUGAAAAUGGUGCUAAUACCGCAUAACAUCAUCGGAUCGCAUGAUCUGGUGAUCAAAGGAGCAAUCCGCUUAUGGAUGAGCCUGCGUCUGAUUAGCUAGUUGGUAGGGUAACGGCUUACCAAGGCGACGAUCAGUAGCCGGCCUGAGAGGGUGAUCGGCCACACUGGAACUGAGACACGGUCCAGACUCCUACGGGAGGCAGCAGUGGGGAAUCUUCCGCAAUGGGCGAAAGCCUGACGGAGCAACGCCGCGUGAGUGAUGAAGGCCUUCGGGUUGUAAAACUCUGUCUUCAGGGAAGAAAAAAAUGACGGUACCUGAGGAGGAAGCCACGGCUAACUACGU
rnacentral:rRNA from 1 species